CGUGUCCCCGAGCUGGAGCCGACUACGAAGGUGUUCCGUGUCCCCGAGCUGGAGCCGACUACGGAGGUGUUCCGUGUCCCCGAGCUGGAGCCGACUACGGAGGUGUUCCCUGUCCCCGAGCCGACGGCGACAACCGCGGAGGUGUUCAGUGUCCCCGAGCCGACGGCGACAACCGCGGAGGUGUUCAGUGUCCCCGAGCUGCCGCCGCCGACCCCGGAGGUUUCCCGUGUCCCCGAGCCUGCCAUUCUAGAGACGUUCUGUGCCCUGCAGUCGCCGCUCCGGAGCCGGCUUGGUGACCGCCCGCCGGGCCGACCCCCAGAGGCUCCCCGCUCGUCUGGCCACCCGCCGGGCCGCCCGCCAGAGUUUCCCGGGUGGUCCGACCAACGUCUCUGGUUUCCCUGCCCCCCCACCCCUUGUUUUGCUCUAGUGUGAGCCACCUGGAAGUCGGUCCUUGAGGGGGGGGUACUGUCACGGUGUGGUU
ensembl:lncRNA